rnacentral:rRNA from 1 species
UACGAAGGGGGCUAGCGUUGCUCGGAAUCACUGGGCGUAAAGGGUGCGUAGGCGGGUCUUUAAGUCAGGGGUGAAAUCCUGGAGCUCAACUCCAGAACUGCCUUUGAUACUGAGGAUCUUGAGUUCGGGAGAGGUUAGUGGAACUGCGAGUGUAGAGGUGAAAUUCGUAGAUAUUCGCAAGAACACCAGUGGCGAAGGCGGCUCACUGGCCCGAUACUGACGCUGAGGCACGAAAGCGUGGGGAGCAAACAGG